rnacentral:rRNA from 1 species
GAGUUUGAUCAUGGCUCAGAUUGAACGCUGGCGGCAGGCUCAACACAUGCAAGUCGAACGGUAGCAGGAGAAAGCUUGCUUUCUUGCUGACGAGUGGCGGACGGGUGAGUAAUGCUUGGGAAUCUGGCUUAUGGAGGGGGAUAACUACGGGAAACUGUAGCUAAUACCGCGUAGUGUCGAGAGACGAAAGUGCGGGACCGUAAGGCCGCAUGCCAUGAGAUGAGCCCAAGUGGGAUUAGGUAGUUGGUGGGGUAAAGGCCUACCAAGCCUGCGAUCUCUAGCUGGUCUGAGAGGAUGGCCAGCCACACUGGAACUGAGACACGGUCCAGACUCCUACGGGAGGCAGCAGUGGGGAAUAUUGCGCAAUGGGGGGAACCCUGACGCAGCCAUGCCGCGUGAAUGAAGAAGGCCUUCGGGUUGUAAAGUUCUUUCGGUAUUGAGGAAGGGAUGUGUGCUAAUAGUACAUAUCAUUGACGUUAAAUACAGAAGAAGCACCGGCUAACUCCGUGCCAGCAGCCGCGGUAAUACGGAGGGUGCGAGCGUUAAUCGGAAUAACUGGGCGUAAAGGGCACGCAGGCGGUUAUUUAAGUGAGGUGUGAAAGCCCCGGGCUUAACCUGGGAAUUGCAUUUCAGACUGGGUAACUAGAGUACUUUAGGGAGGGGUAGAAUUCCACGUGUAGCGGUGAAAUGCGUAGAGAUGUGGAGGAAUACCGAAGGCGAAGGCAGCCCCUUGGGAAAGUACUGACGCUCAUGUGCGAAAGGCGUGGGGAGCAAAACAGGAUUAGAUACCCUGGUAGUUCCACGCUGUAAACGCUGUCGAUUUGGGGAUUGAGCUUUAAGCUUGGUGCCCGUAGCUAACGUGAUAAAAUCGACCGCCUGGGGAGUACGGCCGCAAGGUUAAAAACUCAAAUGAAAUUGACGGGGGCCCGCACAAGCGGUGGAGCAUGUGGUUUAAUUCGAUGCAAACGCGAAGAACCUUACCUACUCUUGACAUCCAUGGAAUCCUGUAGAGAUACGGGAGUGCCUUUCGGGAACCAUGAGACAGGUGCUGCAUGGCUGUUCGUCAGCUCGUGUUGUGAAAUGUUGGGUUAAGUCCCGCAACGAGCGCAACCCUUAUCCUUUGUUGCCAGCGAUUUGGUUCGGGAAACUCAAAGGAGACUGCCAGUGAUAAAACUGGAGGAAGGUGGGGAUGACGUCGAAGUCAUUCAUGGCCCUUACGAGUAGGGCUACACACGUGCUACGAAUGGCGUAUACAGAGGGUGGCGAA